rnacentral:misc_RNA from 1 species
AAGUCGUAACAAGGUUUCCGUAGGUGGCACGUUUGCCUCCGGGAGCCCGCAGCGACUCUAAACAAGUGCCCGAGUCGACCCCCUUCCGGGGAAGGCAACGCUGUUACUCUGCACUGGGAGCCCCUUCGGGGGCAACCAGCGGCCCCUCCGGGGCUCACAGAUCAAACGACGGCGGCCACCCGCUCGCGGUGGUUCUGAUAUGACCGGCCUCGGCUAUCGCUAGCUGUGGAAUUUGCGGAACUUGCGGAAGGAUCAUUAAUGAGAAACGGUUUCGCGGCCGUGGGGGCUUCGGCUCCGACUCACACCCUUUGUUAUUUGCCACUGUUGCUUUGGCGGGCCUGGGGUCUAACCCUGCCGGUGUUGCUUAUUAAUAGCCAGUUCACCCGGCUCGUGCUUCGCAGAGGCCCAAUCAAUUCUGUUUAUCAGUGUCGUCCGAGUAAAAUUUAGUCAUUAAA